CACAGAAUGAUUUUGUUUUCGAGAAGAGGGGGUCGAUGGUUUGAUCUGCUCCCGUGUUGUUGCUUUGGUUUGAUUAAAACUGCCAGAGUUAUCGUGUAUGGAUUGAUCUCCACGGAUCUCACUCUGAUAACGUACCUGGAGCUUGUGGGUCCAACCACGACCAUGGUCCAACUCAUGAAGCUGCGUUCUGACUGUAAAGAAGUCGAGGCAAUGCAGGAUUAUUUGAGCUCAACACAGCUAGUGUUGACUUUAGCACAAAGCAAAGAUUUCACUGCCCGGCUAGGUCCAAAAUGAUUAUUUUACUAAGAUAUUGAUCGGUGUCAUAAAAUUCCUUUAAACACAUUGCACGAAAAAUUAGAAGAAUAACGGAUACCCGUGGAAACUGACUGAAGUGUGACGUGCAAGAGAAAAUAGAUUUUCGUGUUUACUUUAUCCGAUUUAUUCACUGAUCACAUGUAAUAUCUUAUUAAUAAAAUCAGCAUACAAUA